CACGUAGGGCGCAAGCGUUGUUCGGAAUUACUGGGCGUAAAGGGCUCGUAGGCGGCCAACUAAGUCAGACGUGAAAUCCCUCGGCUUAACCGGGGAACUGCAUCUGAUACUGGAUGGCUUGAGAUUGGGAGAGGGAUGCGGAAUUCCAGGUGUAGCGGUGAAAUGCGUAGAUAUCUGGAGGAACACCGGUGGCGAAGGCGGCAUCCUGGACCAACACUGACGCUGAGGAGCGAAAGCUAGGGGAGCAAACGGG
rnacentral:rRNA from 1 species